AAUGAACGCUGGCGGCGUGCUUAACACAUGCAAGUUGGACGAGAAAGGCUGAUUUCGGUUGGCCGAGUAAAGUGGCGCACGGGUGAGUAACGCGUAGGCAACCUACCCUUGUAUUGGGGAUAACCCCGCGAAAGCGGGGCUAAUACCGGAUAAGACCCAAGUUCGGUGGGAUUUGGGUGAAAGUCGGCCACUCGGAGAAGCUGACGUACGAGGAUGGGCCUGCGUCCUAUCAGCUAGUUGGUGGGGUAGCGGCCUACCAAGGCAACGACGGGUAGCUGGUCUGAGAGGAUGAUCAGCCACACUGGCACUGGAACACGGGCCAGACUCCUACGGGUGGCAG
rnacentral:rRNA from 1 species